AACGGUGCUGCUAAGACAUGGUGGCUGUGGUGGACGGUGCUGCUGAGACAUGGUGGCUGUGGUGAACGGUGCCGAGACAUGGUGGCUGUGGUGAACGGUGCUGCCGAGACAUGGUGGCUGUGGUGGACGGUGCUGAGACACGGUGGCUGUGGUGAACGGUGCUGCCGAGACAUGGUGGCUGUGGUGGACGGUGCUGCUGAGACAUGGUGGCUGUGGUGGAUGGUGCCGAGACAUGGUGGCUGUGGUGAACGGUGCUGCUGAGACAUGGUGGCUAUGGUGAACGGUGCUGAGACAUGGUGGCUGUGGUGGACGGUGCUGCUGAGACAUGGUGGCUGUGGUGAACGGUGCUGAGACAUGGGGCUGUGGUGAAUGGUGCUGCCGAGACAUGGUGGCUGUGGUGAACGGUGCUGCUAAUGUGUCUGGAAUUGGUGGAUUCUUGGUCUCACUGACUUCAAGAUUGAAGCCGCAGACCCUCGCAAUGAGUGUUACAGUUCUUAAAGAUGGUGUGUCCGGAGUUUGUUCCUUCUGAUGUUCGGAUGUGUUUGGAGUUUCUUCCUUCUGGUGGGUUCGUGGUCUCGCUGGCUUCA
rnacentral:lncRNA from 1 species